UUCUCCUAGAUUGAAAUUAAAACUGUAUGUUACAUGUUUUGGAAAAUAUGACAGUGAGAAAAACAUGUCUUGAUCAUGAUAAAAUAGAAGAAUACACUUCUCCGUGGAGCACACAUGAUUAAUUUAGAACAUAAAUUUAAAGAUCAAUUUAUGAAAGAAGUUGACAGCAAAGGAAAACAAACCAGAGUUAUUUGAUUAUUGCUUAAUUCGAUGACAGAUGAACCAUUGAAG
rnacentral:lncRNA from 1 species